rnacentral:rRNA from 1 species
UGGGGAAUUUUGGACAAUGGGGGAAACCCUGAUCCAGCCAUCCCGCGUGUGCGAUGAAGGCCUUCGGGUUGUAAAGCACUUUUGGCAGGAAAGAAACGUCGCGGGUUAAUACCCCGCGAAACUGACGGUACCUGCAGAAUAAGCACCGGCUAACUACGUGCCAGCAGCCGCGGUAAUACGUAGGGUGCAAGCGUUAAUCGGAAUUACUGGGCGUAAAGCGUGCGCAGGCGGUUCGGAAAGAAAGAUGUGAAAUCCCAGAGCUUAACUUUGGAACUGCAUUUUUAACUACCGGGCUAGAGUGUGUCAGAGGGAGGUGGAAUUCCGCGUGUAGCAGUGAAAUGCGUAGAUAUGCGGAGGAACACCGAUGGCGAAGGCAGCCUCCUGGGAUAACACUGACGCUCAUGCACGAAAGCGUGGGGAGCAAACAGGAUUAGAUACCCUGGUAGUCCACGCCCCUAAAACGAUGUCAACUAGCUGUUGGGGCCUUCGGGCCUUGGUAGCGCAGCUAACGCGU